UACGGGGGGGGCAAGCGUUGUUCGGAAUUACUGGGCGUAAAGGGCUCGUAGGUGGCCAACUAAGUCAAACGUGAAAUCCCUCGGCUUAACCGGGGAACUGCGUCUGAUACUGGAUGGCUUGAGUUUGGGAGAGGGAUGCGGAAUUCCAGGUGUAGCGGUGAAAUGCGUAGAUAUCUGGAGGAACACCGGUGGCGAAGGCGGCAUCCUGGACCAACACUGACACUGAGGAGCGAAAGCCAGGGGAGCAAACGGG
rnacentral:rRNA from 1 species